ACUCCUACGGGAGGCAGCAGUGGGGAAUAUUGGACAAUGGGGGGAACCCUGAUCCAGCCAUGCCGCGUGUGUGAAGAAGGCCUUUUGGUUGUAAAGCACUUUAAGCGAGGAGGAGGCUCUCUUGGUUAAUACCUAAGAAGAGUGGACGUUACUCGCAGAAUAAGCACCGGCUAACUCUGUGCCAGCAGCCGCGGUAAUACAGAGGGUGCGAGCGUUAAUCGGAUUUACUGGGCGUAAAGCGCGCGUAGGUGGCUAAUUAAGUCAAAUGUGAAAUCCCCGAGCUUAACUUGGGAAUUGCAUUUGAUACUGGUUGGCUAGAGUAUGGGAGAGGAUGGUAGAAUUCCAGGUGUAGCGGUGAAAUGCGUAGAGAUCUGGAGGAAUACCGAUGGCGAAGGCAGCCAUCUGGCCUAAUACUGACACUGAGGUGCGUAAGCAUGGGGAGCAAACAGGAUUAGAUACCCUGGUAGUC
rnacentral:rRNA from 1 species